AUGCGUCAUGCGUGCCGUAAGCGGGCUCUGGUGGGGGAACCCGUAGGAAGGGGGGACGACCCGCCGAAUUCACAUCAGAAAUCGCCAGAACACAAACGAAAUCUUGAAUUGCGUAUAGAAACAAAACGAACCACUUAUAUUCUCGGAGCUGAGGUAUAUGAAGAAUGGCUUUUUGGUCCCUUUCGUCCAGUGGUUAGGACAUCGUCUUUUCAUGUCGAAGACACGGGUUCGAUUCCCGUAAGGGAUGGCUACUCUUUCCCGGCCGCUUUCAGUUAG
rnacentral:lncRNA from 1 species